GAUGAACGCUGGCUACAGGCUUAACACAUGCAAGUCGAGGGGAAACGACGGGGAAGCUUGCUUCCCCGGGCGUCGACCGGCGCACGGGUGAGUAACGCGUAUCCAACCUGCCUCUGACUGAGGGAUAACCCGUCGAAAGUCGGCCUAAUACCUCAUGGCAUCGUCUGCGGGCGUCCAACGACGAUUAAAGAUUUCAUCGGUCAGGGAUGGGGAUGCGUCUGAUUAGCUAGUUGGCGGGGUAACGGCCCACCAAGGCGACGAUCAGUAGGGGUUCUGAGAGGAAGGUCCCCCACAUUGGAACUGAGACACGGUCCAAACUCCUACGGGAGGCAGCAGUGAGGAAUAUUGGUCAAGGGGCGAGAGCCUGAACCAGCCAAGUAGCGUGCAGGAUGACGGCCCUAUGGGUUGUAAACUGCUUUUAUGCGGGGAUAAAGUGAGGGACGUGUCCUUCAUUGCAGGUACCGCAUGAAUAAGGACCGGCUAAUUCCGUG
rnacentral:rRNA from 1 species